UUUAUCCUUUUUUUUCCAGGGGAAAGCCUUGGUAUGAACCUGAUUGGUGGAAAUUUGGGGAUGAAAAAUCGUAUUUCCGACAUGCAUCUGGUUCACUUGUUAUACUUUCAAAGAAUUUGGCACAGUACAUUAACAUAAACAGUGUAUCUUUGAAGA